CACUCGACUCCUGUUGACAGUACAUUGGAAAUAACCAGUGGAUGGAAGAGAAUUCAGUAACCUGGAGAGACGGCAGCAUUCUGGAGCAGAGGGGAGGUCACGGAGAUAAUUUUGUCCCAAUGUUUUGUUUUACAGAAGAGCAAACCAAGGUAUUGAGAGGCAGCCAUGCUGAAACAGAUCUUCUAACCCAUACGACAGGCUGAGCCUUUUUGGUGGAGGAUCAUUGUGCUGUACCUUGGUUAAUGUUGUCUCUUCUGACUGCACGUUAGACCCAGCUGGAAAGUUUAAAGAACACAAAGGUAGACCACUAGGAUCCACUCUUGAUCAAGUAAAUCAGAUUCCCGAGUAAAGCAAAAUUCCCUGGUAGGCAAUUCUUAAGAAGCUCUGGAACUGAUUAGUCUGUAGACUGGUUGAGAAACAUGGGUCCCGGCAAAGAAGAGAUCCCAGAAAUCAAUGCUGGAUCAAGCCGGUGGCCGCGAAUCCUGGCUUGCACCUGUUGUCCUGACAUUUUUUAAUAGCACUUUUUUUUUAUUCUUAAAAUUCCCCAUAUUUGAACAAUAAAUGCUAUGAUUAUACAACAUGGAAGACUGUUAGAAAUUUUUUUUCUUAAUUGAUAAGACAAAAGUGAGGUGUAGCUUAAAAAGCAGAGAUCUUAAGUGUAUUGAUGAAAUGUAACAUAUGUGUGCAUCUAUGUAGCUACAAGCUAUAAUAACAAUUUUAGUACUUUCCAGAACAUUUGUUUCUCUUUCUGGUUAGUAGCCUUUUCUUUAUCCCAAACAAGUAAUUUUGACUCCCUAUGAGUAGAUUCAGAAAAUAUAUACUGUUGUGUGUCUGAUUUCUAUCUCUCAAAAUCAUGUUUGUGAAAUUCAUUUACGGCACAGCGUGUAUCUGAAGUUUGAUAUUUUAUACAGCUAUAUAGUAUUCCAUUAUAUGAUUAUACUAUAACUUAUUUACCAAUUUGUUGGUUGUGGAUGGACAUUUGAGUGUUUCCAUUUUUGUCAAAUGGGAAUAAAGCAGCUAUCUA